AUUGAACGCUGGCGGCAUGCCUUACACAUGCAAGUCGAACGGUAACAGGUCUUCGGAUGCUGACGAGUGGCGAACGGGUGAGUAAUACAUCGGAACGUGCCUAGUAGUGGGGGAUAACUACUCGAAAGAGUGGCUAAUACCGCAUGAGAUCUACGGAUGAAAGCAGGGGAUCGCAAGACCUUGUGCUACUAGAGCGGCCGGUGGCAGAUUAGGUAGUUGGUGGGAUAAAAGCUUACCAAGCCGACGAUCUGUAGCUGGUCUGAGAGGACGAUCAGCCACACUGGGACUAAGACACAGCCCAGACUCCUACGGGAGGCAGCAGUGGGGAAUUUUGGACAAUGAGCGAAAGCCUGAUCCAGCAAUGCCGCGUGCAGGAUGAAGGCCUUCGGGUUGUAAACUGCUUUUGUACGGAACGAAAAGCCCCGGGUUAAUACCCUGGGGUCAUGACGGUACCGUAAGAAUAAGCACCGGCUAACUACGUGCCAGCAGCCGCAGUAA
rnacentral:rRNA from 1 species